rnacentral:rRNA from 1 species
GAUGAACCCUUUCGGCAUGCCUAAUACAUGCAAGUCGAACGAAGUCUUCAGGAAGCUUGCUUCCAAAAAGACUUAGUGGCGAACGGGUGAGUAACACGUAGGUAACCUGCCCAUGUGUCCGGGAUAACUGCUGGAAACGGUAGCUAAAACCGGAUAGGUAUACGGAGCGCAUGCUCUGUAUAUUAAAGCGCCCAUCAAGGCGUGAACAUGGAUGGACCUGCGGCGCAUUAGCUAGUUGGUGAGGUAACGGCCCACCAAGGCGAUGAUGCGUAGCCGGCCUGAGAGGGUAAACGGCCACAUUGGGACUGAGACACGGCCCAAACUCCUACGGGAGGCAGCAGUAGGGAAUUUUCGUCAAUGGGGGAAACCCUGAACGAGCAAUGCCGCGUGAGUGAAGAAGGUCUUCGGAUCGUAAAGCUCUGUUGUAAGUGAAGAACGGCUCAUAGAGGAAAUGCUAUGGGAGUGACGGUAGCUUACCAGAAAGCCACGGUUAACUACGUGCCAGCAGCCGCGGUAAUACGUAGGUGGCAAGCGUUAUCCGGAAUCAUUGGGCGUAAAGGGUGCGUAGGUGGCGUACUAAGUCUGUAGUAAAAGGCAAUGGCUCAACCAUUGUAAGCUAUGGAAACUGGUAUGCUGGAGUGCAGAAGAGGGCGAUGGAAUUCCAUGUGUAGCGGUAAAAUGCGUAGAUAUAUGGAGGAACACCAGUGGCGAAGGCGGUCGCCUGGUCUGUAACUGACACUGAGGCACGAAAGCGUGGGGAACAAAUAGGAUUAGAUACCCUAGUAGUCCCCCCCUCAAAAAGAGAACUAAGUGUUGGAGGAUUCCAGUGCUGCAGUAACGCCAAUAAUUAUCCGCCUGGGGAGAUGCCACGCAAAGUGGUGAAACUCAAAGGAAUUGACGGGGGCCCGCACAAGCGGUGGAGUAUGUGGUUUAAUUCGAAGCAACGCGAAGAACCUUACCAGGCCUUGACAUGGAAACAAAUACCCUAGAGAUAGGGGGAUAAUUAUGGAUC